rnacentral:tRNA from 1 species
GUUUUCGUAGUGUAGUGGUUAUCACGUUCGCCUCACACGAGAAAGGCCCCCGGUUCGAACCCGGGCGAAAACA